rnacentral:rRNA from 1 species
GCAAACAAAUCGAUUUUAGGAUGAGUUUGGUUGUAGCUGGUCUAUUUAUUUAGGCAUGUGCACACCUUUCUCUUUCAUCCCAUACACACCUGUGAACUUGUGAGACAGUUGGGGAAUUUAUUUGUUAUUUUUUGUAAUAAAAUUAUAAUAAGUCAUUGAACCCUUCUGUCUACUCAACUUAUAUAAACUCAAUUUACUUUAAAUGAAUGUAAUGGAUGUAACACAUCUCAUACUAAGUUUCAACAACGGAUCUCUUGGCUCUCGCAUCGAUGAAGAACGCAGCGAAAUGCGAUAAGUAAUGUGAAUUGCAGAAUUCAGUGAAUCAUCGAAUCUUUGAACGCACCUUGCGCUCCUUGGUAUUCCUUGGAGCAUGCCUGUUUGAGUAUCAUGAAAUCUUCAAAAUCAAACUUUUUGUUAACUCAAUUAGUCUGAUUUUGGUAUUGGAGGUCUUUGCAGCUUCACACCUGCUCCUCUUUGUGUAUUAGCUGGAUCUCAGUGUUAUGCUUGGUUCCACUCAGCGUGAUAAAUUAUCUAUCGCUGAGGACACUGUAAAAAGUGGCCAAGGUAAAUGCAGAUGAACCGCUUCUAAUAGUCCAUUGACUUGGACACUAUUUUUAUGAUCUGAUCUCAAAUCAGGUAGGACUACCCGCUGAACUUAAGCAUAUCAUAAAGCGGAGGAAUUAACAGGGGUGUAGCUGCUCAUAUCUCCCCCCCAUUUUAGAGCGCUUUUUCUCUACAUUGUAUUGGGAAUUGGAAUUAGCUGCUCUGUACAGAACUGGGAAGUUCAUCACAUAA